UACGGAGGGAGCUAGCGUUGUUCGGAAUUACUGGGCGUAAAGCGCACGUAGGCGGCUUUUUAAGUCAGGGGUGAAAUCCCGGGGCUCAACCCCGGAACUGCCCUUGAAACUGGAGAGCUAGAAUCUUGGAGAGGCGAGUGGAAUUCCGAGUGUAGAGGUGAAAUUCGUAGAUAUUCGGAAGAACACCAGUGGCGAAGACGACUCGCUGGACAAGUAUUGACGCUGAGGUGCGAAAGCGUGGGGAGCAAACAGGG
rnacentral:rRNA from 1 species